rnacentral:rRNA from 1 species
UACGGAGGGAGCUAGCGUUGUUCGGAAAUACUGGGCGUAAAGCGCACGUAGGCGGCGCAGCAAGUCAGGGGUGAAAUCCCGGGGCUCAACCCCGGAACUGCCUUUAAGACUGCAUCGCUUGAAUCCAGGAGAGGUGAGUGGAAUUCCGAGUGUAGAGGUGAAAUUCGUAGAUAUUCGGAAGAACACCAGUGGCGAAGGCGGCUCACUGGACUGGUAUUGACGCUGAGGUGCGAAAGCGUGGGGAGCAAACAGG